CAGACCCUACCCAAUACUGCUCCUGAGAGUCUGAAACUGACUUCCCCAAUCGCCCACACAAACCGAAGAGAACCAAGUCUCUGUCUUUCUCUCUGUCCAGUUCCGUUUAAGGCUUUAUCUCUAUCUGGGUUUGUUAAUUCCAGCCCAGAAUUUCAAUAUAUGUAUGCAGCUUUGUAUAAUAGCAUGUUGUACUACUUCAAGAACUCGAUCUAUUUAGUUUGACGCAAAAGCUUGGCUAGAUUUUUUUCCUUGAUACUUCCAUCAAGUUGUCGUUUGAUUGACAAUUUCUAUCUAGGAGUGAGCUGCAUGCCAUCUGCUUGUAUAUUUUCAAGUGAAAAGUCUCUUCAUGGCCCUAAGACCUUUUUAUGAAAGAGGAUGUCAACCCAAUGUAUCCAAUACGGACGAUAUCCAAUUAAAUACCAAUUGGGAAGAUGUGAUUUGCCCUAUAUGCUUGGACUUCCCUCACAAUGGUGUACUCCUCCAAUGCUCAUCUUAUGGGAAAGGGUGUCGUCCUUUUGUUUGUGACACUGACCAUUUGCACUCAAAUUGCUUGGACCGGUUCAAAAGUGCUUACGGUAUGUCAUCACCUUCAACAUCUGAUGCGACUCCUGUGGAAAACACUGAGCCAGUGGUAUCCAAAGGCAACGAUAAACCAAGCUGUCCCUUGUGUAGAGGAGAGGUUACUGGAUGGGUGGUUGUUGAUAAGGCCCGUCUAUAUCUGGAUGAAAAGAAGCGUUGUUGUGAGGAGGAACGAUGUACAUUUAGGGGAACAUACUUAGAACUACAAAAACAUGCUCAACUGGAACACCCUCAUGCACGUCCAUCAAAGAUUGAUCCUGCUCGGCAGCUUGAUUGGGAGAAUUUCCAGCAGUCCUCUGAGAUCAUAGAUGUUUUGAGCACUAUUCAUUCAGAAGUCCCACGCGGGGUGGUUUUGGGAGACUAUGUAAUUGAAUAUGGGGAUGAUGAAACUGGAGAUGAGUUUGAGGACUUUCCUGGUGAUGAAGGGAACUGGUGGACCUCUUGUAUCUUGUAUCAGGUGUUUGAUAACUUCAGGAAUUCUAGAAACAGAAGAAGGUCAAGAGUUAGUGAUACAAGAAGGGGAAAUCGCCGUACAAGUUAUGAUACUUCCAUUUCUGAUGAGGGUUCUGUAACAUCUGUAGAAUAUUCUGACUAUAGGGUAGAUGAGACAGAUGAUGAGUUUGUGAGUACAAAUAUCCCCUCAAGGGGCAGCUCCAGUCAUCGCAGUUCUCGAAGACGCCGUUCCCGCUUUUACGACAGUUAGGUAUGCGCUGCUCAUGGAUACUCUUUUACCCAAUCGAAUCUCUGUUGACCUUUUCUUGGGGUCUUAAAAUUGUUUGGUUAGAAGUGAAGCGAAAAACAGAGAGAGAGAUCCACCGGAAGUGGAAAGCCUUCUAUGCUUGCUGUUGAGAGUUGGAAAAGCUACAUCUGGAAUCUUAUCUUUGUUACAUUUGUGAUGGGAUAUGCUGAUUAGACUUGAAUGAACUCAACAUGUGGUUAUGCUGUGAUCCCUUCUGUUAACUCUUCAACAUUUCUCUUUUGCUAUAAAUAUUUUUUUUUAUACUCUGAUAGAAGUCUGAAGGAUGAUGGGGAGAAGUAUUAUAACUAUGGAAAGUUUGCUGAUAAACC